UUUCCGUAGGUGAACCUGUGGAAGUAUCAUUGUCAUGACCCUGACCAAAACAGACCGCACACGCGUCAUACAAUCCGCCGGUGACGGCAGCGUCCAUUGCUUGGCCAAGUCCUCGACCGCCUCCCCUCCUCGGAGUGGGGGCUCGGGGUAAAAGAACCCACGGCGCCGAAGGCAUCAAGGAACACUGUGCCUAACCCGGGGGCAUGGCUAGCUUGCUAGUCGUCCCCCGUGUUGCAAAGCUAUUUAAUCCACAUGACUCUCGGCAACGGAUAUCUCGGCUCUC
rnacentral:misc_RNA from 1 species